CUUCUCACCAGCUGAAAGAACUCUGCUUUCAAGAUCUAGUGGCUCCCUAAUGGAACAAUGCUGAGUUCCUGUGAUCGGAGGAGAAUGUGAACAGGCACUAAAGGAAAACUCGGUUCGAGUUGUGAAUGCUGGGGCCACUCAGUUUAAACCAACGUUACACAAGAUCUGUGCGGCAAAGGCACUUCAGAAGAAGAUGAGGGAUCAUUUGGGGAUGACUCAUUUGAAGACUUAUCUCUGAAUGGUAGUGUUGAAAUAAAAUGGAAUGGCGAAAGGGAAAAAA